AUACGUAGGGUGCAAGCGUUAAUCGGAAUUACUGGGCGUAAAGCGUGCGCAGGCGGUUUUGUAAGACAGAGGUGAAAUCCCCGGGCUCAACCUGGGAACUGCCUUUGUGACUGCAAGGCUGGAGUACGGCAGAGGGGGAUGGAAUUCCGCGUGUAGCAGUGAAAUGCGUAGAUAUGCGGAGGAACACCGAUGGCGAGGCCAAUCCCCUGGGCCUGUACUGACGCUCAUGCACGAAAGCGUGGGGAGCAAACAGGAUUAGAUACCCUGGUAGUCCACGCCCUAAACGAUGUCAACUGGUUGUUGGGUCUUCAUUGACUCAGUAACGAAGCUAACGCGUGAAGUUGACCGCCUGGGGAGUACGGCCGCAAGGUUGAAACUCAAAUGAAUUGACGGGG
rnacentral:rRNA from 1 species